rnacentral:rRNA from 1 species
GAUGAACGCUGGCGGCGUGCCUAAUACAUGCAAGUCGAGCGAACAGACGAGGAGCUUGCUCCUCUGACGUUAGCGGCGGACGGGUGAGUAACACGUGGAUAACCUACCUAUAAGACUGGGAUAACUUCGGGAAACCGGAGCUAAUACCGGAUAAUAUAUUGAACCGCAUGGUUCAAUAGUGAAAGACGGUUUUGCUGUCACUUAUAGAUGGAUCCGCGCCGCAUUAGCUAGUUGGUAAGGUAACGGCUUACCAAGGCGACGAUGCGUAGCCGACCUGAGAGGGGGAUCGGCCACACUGGAACUGAGAAACGGUCCAGACUCCUACGGGAGGCAGCAGUAGGGAAUCUGCCGAAAGGGGCGAAAGCCUGACGGAGCAACGCCGGGGGAGUGAUGAAGGUCUUCGGAUCGUAAAACGCUGUUAUUAGGGAAGAACAAAUGUGUAAGUAACUAUGCACGUCUGGACGGUACCUAAGCAGAAAACCACGGCUAACUACGU